rnacentral:rRNA from 1 species
AUUGAACGCUGGCGGCAGGCCUAACACAUGCAAGUCGAGCGGAUGAAGGGAGCUUGCUCCUGGAUUCAGCGGCGGACGGGUGAGUAAUGCCUAGGAAUCUGCCUGGUAGUGGGGGAUAACGUCCGGAAACGGGCGCUAAUACCGCAUACGUCCUGAGGGAGAAAGUGGGGGAUCUUCGGACCUCACGCUAUCAGAUGAGCCUAGGUCGGAUUAGCCAGUUGGUGGGGUAAAGGCCUACCAAGGCGACGAUCCGUAACUGGUCUGAGAGGAUGAUCGGUCACACUGGAACUGAGACACGGUCCAGACUCCUACGGGAGGCAGCAGUGGGGAAUAUUGGACAAUGGGCGAAAGCCUGAUCCAGCCAUGCCGCGUGUGUGAAGAAGGUCUUCGGAUUGUAAAGCACUUUAAGUUGGGAGGAAGGGCAGUAAGUUAAUACCUUGCUGUUUUGACGUUACCAACAGAAUAAGCACCGGCUAACUUCGUG